rnacentral:rRNA from 1 species
GAUGAACGCUGGCGGCGUGCCUAAUACAUGCAAGUCGAGCGAACGGACGAGAAGCUUGCUUCUCUGAUGUUAGCGGCGGACGGGUGAGUAACACGUGGAUAACCUACCUAUAAGACUGGGAUAACUUCGGGAAACCGGAGCUAAUACCGGAUGAUAUUUUGAACCGCAUGGUUCAAAAGUGAAAGACGGUCUUGCUGUCACUUAUAGAUGGAUCCGCGCUGCAUUAGCUAGUUGGUAAGGUAACGGCUUACCAAGGCAACGAUGCAUAGCCGACCUGAGAGGGUGAUCGGCCACACUGGAACUGAGGCACGUUCCAGACUCCAACGGGAGGCAGCAGUAGGGAAUCUUCCGCAAUGGGCGAAAGCCUGACGGAGCAACGCCGCGUGAGUGAUGAAGGUCUUCGGAUCGUAAAACUCUGUUAUUAGGGAAGAACAUAUGUGUAAGUAACUGUGCACAUCUUGACGGUACCUAAUCAGAAAGCCACGGCUAACUACGUG